rnacentral:rRNA from 1 species
AUCUUCCGCAAUGGACGAAAGUCUGACGGAGCGACGCCGCGUGAGCGAAGAAGGUCUUCGGAUCGUAAAGCUCUGUUGUUAGGGAAGAAGAAGCGCCGUUCGAACAGGGCGGCGCGGUGACGGUACCUAACGAGAAAGCCCCGGCUAACUACGUGCCAGCAGCCGCGGUAAUACGUAGGGGGCGAGCGUUGUCCGGAAUUAUUGGGCGUAAAGCGCGCGCAGGCGGUCCCUUAAGUCUGAUGUGAAAGCCCACGGCUUAACCGUGGAGGGUCAUUGGAAACUGGGGGACUUGAGUGCAGAAGAGGAGAGCGGAAUUCCACGUGUAGCGGUGAAAUGCGUAGAGAUGUGGAGGAACACCAGUGGCGAAGGCGGCUCUCUGGUCUGUAACUGACGCUGAGGCGCGAAAGCGUGGGGAGCAAACAGG